AGCGUACACGGUGGAUGCCCUGGCAGUCAGAGGCGAUGAAGGACGUGCUAAUCUGCGAUAAGCGUCGGUGAGGUGAUAUGAACCGUUAUAACCGGCGAUUUCCGAAUGGGGAAACCCAGUGUGUUUCGACACACUAUCAUUAACUGAAUCCAUAGGUUAAUGAGGCGAACCGGGGGAACUGAAACAUCUAAGUACCCCGAGGAAAAGAAAUCAACCGAGAUUCCCCCAGUAGCGGCGAGCGAACGGGGAGGAGCCCAGAGCCUGAAUCAGUGUGUGUGUUAGUGGAAGCGUCUGGAAAGGCGUGCGAUACAGGGUGACAGCCCCGUACACAAAAAUGCACAUAUUGUGAGCUCGAUGAGUAGGGCGGGACACGUGGUAUCCUGUCUGAAUAUGGGGGGACCAUCCUCCAAGGCUAAAUACUCCUGACUGACCGAUAGUGAACCAGUACCGUGAGGGAAAGGCGAAAAGAACCCCGGCGAGGGGAGUGAAAAAGAACCUGAAACCGUGUACGUACAAGCAGUGGGAGCCUCUUAAUGGGGUGACUGCGUACCUUUUGUAUAAUGGGUCAGCGACUUAUAUUCUGUAGCAAGGUUAACCGAAUAGGGGAGCCGAAGGGAAACCGAGUCUUAACUGGGCGUUAAGUUGCAGGGUAUAGACCCGAAACCCGGUGAUCUAGCCAUGGGCAGGUUGAAGGUUGGGUAACACUAACUGGAGGACCGAACCGACUAAUGUUGAAAAAUUAGCGGAUGACUUGUGGCUGGGGGUGAAAGGCCAAUCAAACCGGGAGAUAGCUGGUUCUCCCCGAAAGCUAUUUAGGUAGCGCCUCGUGAAUUCAUCUCCGGGGGUAGAGCACUGUUUCGGCAAGGGGGUCAUCCCGACUUACCAACCCGAUGCAAACUGCGAAUACCGGAGAAUGUUAUCACGGGAGACACACGGCGGGUGCUAACGUCCGUCGUGAAGAGGGAAACAACCCAGACCGCCAGCUAAGGUCCCAAAGUCAUGGUUAAGUGGGAAACGAUGUGGGAAGGCCCAGACAGCCAGGAUGUUGGCUUAGAAGCAGCCAUCAUUUAAAGAAAGCGUAAUAGCUCACUGGUCGAGUCGGCCUGCGCGGAAGAUGUAACGGGGCUAAACCAUGCACCGAAGCUGCGGCAGCGACACUAUGUGUUGUUGGGUAGGGGAGCGUUCUGUAAGCCUGUGAAGGUGGCCUGUGAGGGUUGCUGGAGGUAUCAGAAGUGCGAAUGCUGACAUAAGUAACGAUAAAGCGGGUGAAAAGCCCGCUCGCCGGAAGACCAAGGGUUCCUGUCCAACGUUAAUCGGGGCAGGGUGAGUCGACCCCUAAGGCGAGGCCGAAAGGCGUAGUCGAUGGGAAACAGGUUAAUAUUCCUGUACUUGGUGUUACUGCGAAGGGGGGACGGAGAAGGCUAUGUUGGCCGGGCGACGGUUGUCCCGGUUUAAGCGUGUAGGCUGGUUUUCCAGGCAAAUCCGGAAAACCAAGGCUGAGGCGUGAUGACGAGGCACUACGGUGCUGAAGCGACAAAUGCCCUGCUUCCAGGAAAAGCCUCUAAGCAUCAGGUAACAUCAAAUCGUACCCCAAACCGACACAGGUGGUCAGGUAGAGAAUACCAAGGCGCUUGAGAGAACUCGGGUGAAGGAACUAGGCAAAAUGGUGCCGUAACUUCGGGAGAAGGCACGCUGAUAUGUAGGUGAAGCGACUUGCUCGUGGAGCUGAAAUCAGUCGAAGAUACCAGCUGGCUGCAACUGUUUAUUAAAAACACAGCACUGUGCAAACACGAAAGUGGACGUAUACGGUGUGACGCCUGCCCGGUGCCGGAAGGUUAAUUGAUGGGGUUAGCGGCAACGCGAAGCUCUUGAUCGAAGCCCCGGUAAACGGCGGCCGUAACUAUAACGGUCCUAAGGUAGCGAAAUUCCUUGUCGGGUAAGUUCCGACCUGCACGAAUGGCGUAAUGAUGGCCAGGCUGUCUCCACCCGAGACUCAGUGAAAUUGAACUCGCUGUGAAGAUGCAGUGUACCCGCGGCAAGACGGAAAGACCCCGUGAACCUUUACUAUAGCUUGACACUGAACAUUGAGCCUUGAUGUGUAGGAUAGGUGGGAGGCUUUGAAGUGUGGACGCCAGUCUGCAUGGAGCCGACCUUGAAAUACCACCCUUUAAUGUUUGAUGUUCUAACGUUGGCCCGUAAUCCGGGUUGCGGACAGUGUCUGGUGGGUAGUUUGACUGGGGCGGUCUCCUCCUAAAGAGUAACGGAGGAGCACGAAGGUUGGCUAAUCCUGGUCGGACAUCAGGAGGUUAGUGCAAUGGCAUAAGCCAGCUUGACUGCGAGCGUGACGGCGCGAGCAGGUGCGAAAGCAGGUCAUAGUGAU
rnacentral:rRNA from 1 species